AUAUUCACUUUCCCAUUUCAUUUUGCAAGCCCUAACGCUCUCUCUCCUUCCAUCACAGCUCUCGCUCGAUCUUGUAAUCCGUUUUGUUUUCCAUCGCAGCUCUCUCUCCUUCCAUCACCGGUCAUCACAACUCUCUCCCCUUCCAUUAGCCAGCGUUCCAAAACUCGAAUUUUAAUCAGAAACCAACGCUCUAAAACUGGUGGCUUGGUUUAGAGAGACAAAGUCAUUGCUAUUGCACACAGAGAGAGAGAGAGUCAUCGUUGGGCCGGGGUUCCCAAAACCUCGUCUACACUAACAGAUCGGAGCAGAAUUUUUUUAGGAGUGGUUCAGUUUUUUGAAUAUCUUGCAACCGAGCAUCUUCCUUGCUUUGCUUGUUCUCUGUCUUUAAUCUCUCGGCUUUCUUCAAGCAGACUCUUCCUUCGCAUCUUCAAGAGCACAAGUUAGGCGAGUAUAAUCGAGCGAGGGGAGUUGAAAUAGGAAAUAAGGACGUAAAGCUUGAAUACCUGGAAAAAGCAUUCACAACAUCCAAGGAUAGUUCAGAUUUACAAAGUCAAACCACCAAGUAAUAGGGGCUGGAUUUCAAUUCAAAAGCAAGUAUUUGUUUGGGAAAUUAAAUAUUCAGAUCAAGCUUGUAGAGGGUGACUCUGCAGGGACUGUCACUGCUUUCUAUAUGUCAUCAGACAGCUCAAAUCACAACGAGUUCGAUUUUGGCUCCCUAUUUUGUUUGUGGCUUCAGUAUUUUCUUUCAAGAAUAUUGCAAUAUCUCAAUUAGUUGAUAGAGCAAUUUAUAGUAGUGAUAAAAUAAUUAUGAUGAUUUCAGCAACUUUGUAUCUUUGCUACGAUUGUCUGUGUAAAUCCACGUAUCUUAUAUUUUUUAAUUUGCGGUUGCAGGGAAGAGACUCAUCUUUUGAUUUGCUUGAUGAUAAAUAUUUGCAUACUUGGCCCCUAUCCUUUCUCCCCCUUUUUUGUUGUUUAAAUACUUCUAAACCUAGCUCAUAGUUAGGGUCUGAGGUUGUUUUUCAGCAAUAGCAGGACUUUAUCCCUUCUCCUACAUCAUUGUUCCUAAAUCAUGUCCUUUAUAUAAAUAACUGCAGUUUGCUGGUCUCUUGAAUCCUAUUCAUUUUUAUUUUCUUCGUAUUGUUUGAACUAUUUCCUUAUAUUGUUUUAGGUUUCAUGCAGUGAUGGGAUGAAUUAAUGGUUAUAUAUCACUUUGUGCUGGAGACCCUUGCCCUCCAAUUUUUAGGUCACCUGUUGCAGGACUGGAAGAUAUUAUGGAUAAUCAAGUCAUGUAAGUUUCCAAUAAAUCAGAGAUAAUCUUUAAGUGGGUUAAUUAAAAUAAAAUGCAUCUUGGACUUCUUUUCCUUUUACUUUUCUAUUUUUAUUUUUUAUCUCCUGUUACUCCUCUAUUGUUCAGUUGUGCUAUAUACAGACUUCCAGAUGCUCAUAAACAUAUAGCUCGACCACCAGUCGGAGUUAUAUUCCCAAAUAAGGUAUUUAGGUGACUAUUUUUUACAUUUUGUCGGACCAUCUUCAGUAUUUUGUUUUUGUCUCAUCUUAUCUCCUCUGUUGUUCCUACUUCCUACAACCUUGUCAUUGAUGUAUACAUAUUUAAAAAAUUUCAACUCGUCUUACUACUGGUAAAUCUGAAUUCUGCAUUUUAUUCAUGCUCAUUUUUUGAACAUUAACCAUCUGAAGUUCCUUUUGAACAUGUUCUCUUUAUAUGGAGGUGUUGGGACCUACUUCUUGAUAUUUGUUGGUUGUGCUGCGGUGGUGGUGAAUUUGGAGAAGGACAAGGUGGUGACACUUCCGGGAAUAACAAUUGUUUGGGGACUGGCUGUGAUGGUCUUGUUUCGAGAAUGUUAUUACAUGGAGUCUCAUUUGACGCAAAUUCUCAUGAUUUGAGACAUUAUAACUUUUUUUUCUUUUUUUUUUUUUUUUUUUUUUUUUUUUAACUUUGAUGUGGAUUGGGUUUAUCUUGUUAGUAAAUUUUGUUUAUGAAUGGACUUGAUGUUUGAUUACA